ensembl:lncRNA
UCCCAGAUUCCUGCUGAUGCGCCUCAUGUCAUGGCAUUAUUUAUUGACGCUUCACAUAUGGAGAGAGCUGAAGAAACUGUAACAGUUACUACAGCUGAAAUUCGCCAGCCGUCUCUGGAGAACUCGACGAUGGAAAACCUCAACAGACAGAAGGAAACCGUAUUCAGCCUGGUGCAGGUGAAGGGGACGUGGAAACGCAAAGCAGGGCAAAAUGUCAAGCAAGGAAUAAAAGGACGAGUGUCAGCUGCCAAAAUUUACGAAAGCAGCUCCUCUAGUGGCACCACCUGGACAGUGGUCACCCCCAUCACCUUCACAUAUACAGUUACUCAGACCAAAAACCUUCUUGACCCCAGCAAUGACACUCUGCUUUUGGGGCACAUCAAAGACACUGAGCAGCUUGAGGCCGUACGGUCCAGCACCAAGCCCUUAAAACGUUUCAUAGUCAUGGAUGAGGUAGUAUACAAUCUCUAUGGUUCUCAGGUCACCGACUACCUCAAAGCCAGACAUGUCCUGUACCGGAUCCUGCCCCUGCCCACGACGGAGGAGAACAAGUCCAUGGAAAUGGUGCUGAAGAUCCUGGAGGAAGUCCACCAGUUUGGCAUUGAUCGGCGCACCGAGCCCAUCAUAGCCAUCGGAGGUGGGGUCUGCCUAGAUAUCGUGGGUCUCGCAGCGUCCCUCUACAGAAGGCGCACUCCAUACAUUCGCGUUCCCACUACUCUUUUGUCAUACAUCGAUGCUAGCGUCGGAGCAAAGACGGGCGUGAAUUUUGCAAAUUGCAAAAAUAAGCUAGGCACCUACAUUGCACCUGUUGCUGCCUUCUUGGACAGGUCGUUUAUACAGACAAUUCCUCGCAGACACAUAUCUAAUGGUCUUGCAGAAAUGUUGAAGAUGGCUCUGAUGAAGCACAGAGGGCUGUUUGAACUUCUGGAAGCGCAGGGGCAGUUCCUUUUAGACUCCAAAUUCCAGUCCGGUUUGGUUCCAGAAGAUGACCGCAUUGACCCUGCUUCUAUAUCUACACGUGUCGCCAUAGAAACCAUGUUAGAAGAACUGGCCCCAAACCUGUGGGAGGAUGAUCUUGACAGACUGGUCGACUUCGGUCACCUGAUCAGCCCAGAACUAGAGAUGAAAGUCCUACCAGCUUUACUCCACGGUGAGGCAGUAAAUAUCGAUAUGUCCUACAUGGUGUAUGUGGCGUGUGAGAUGGGGUUGCUCACAGAGCAGGAGAAGUUCAGGAUCAUCUGUUGCAUGCUGGGACUGGAGUUGCCGGUGUGGCAUCAAGACUGCACCUUUGCUUUGGUUCAGAAAUCUCUGUGUGACAGACUACAGCACUCCGGAGGGCUUGUGAGAAUGCCUUUACCAACAGGCCUCGGAAGAGCAGAAAUCUUCAACGACAAUGAUGAAGGCACUCUGUUCCGGGCGUACGAGAAGUGGUGCGAUGAACUAUGCACUGGUUCACUUCAAUGAGACCUCAGCCAAUGUUUACAUAUAGGGGAGCCUCUUAGCUUUAAGAAUUUAUACGCAUGUUUUAUUCUAUGAUAGAUUUUGUUUCCUUUUUAUUUUGUAUACAUUAUGGGCAUUUAAGUGUUUUACAUUUAAAACAAUUGCUUCUCAUUUCUAUACUUGCCAUUUUUGUAAAUGGCCGGGAAUAGAAGAAGGCUGACUUGAUAUGUGAAGAUUUUUCUUUAGUUGUGUUUAAGGGUUUCUUUCCCAUCAUUUCAUAUUUGAUAAAGGGACAUUUCGGUUAAUAAUGAAAUCAUUUAUUAAAAUGUAAAAAAGUCUGCCUGAUGUGUUGGAUGUAAUACAUGAAUGUUUAUAAUAAACAAUUUUCUUAUUAACA